GCGGGCGGCGGCUACACAUGCAGUCGACGGUAGCACAGAGGAGCUUGCUCCUCGGGUGACGAGUGGCGGACGGGUGAGUAAUGUCUGGGAAACUGCCCGAUGGAGGGGGAUAACAACUGGAAACGGUAGCUAAUACCGCAUAAUGUCGCAAGACCAAAGAGGGGGACCUUCGGGCCUCUUGCCAUCGCCUGUGCCCAGAUGGGAUUAGCUAGUAGGUGGGGUAACGGCUCACCUAGGCGACGAUCCCUAGCUGGUCUGAUAGGAUGACCAGCCACACUGUAUUUGAGACACGGUCCAGACUCCUACGGCAGGCAGCAGUGUUUUUUUUUGCACAUUGGGCGCAUGCCUGAUUCAUCCAUUCCUUUUGUGUGAAAAAAAAUUUUCUUGUUGUAUUUCAUUUUCCCCUAUUAGAAUUCUUUUUUUUUCUUUUUUCCC
rnacentral:rRNA from 1 species